GUUUUCACACCAAAAAACUACCUUGAGGUGGUAGCGCUGGAAACGGCGUGGAGGUUCGAGUCCUCUCAACCGCACCA
rnacentral:tRNA from 1 species